rnacentral:lncRNA from 1 species
GUACAAUGAAUCAAAUCCACCAUAAACCAAAGCUUUUGAUCUCAAGUCAAGAAAUAUGCUUGUUUGACGUGGGCACUGUCUUUUGCUACCUGUGAUAACAACAACAACCACAACCACAACAACAACCACAACAACAACCACAACCACAACAACAACAACAACAACCACAACAACCACAACCACAACAUCAACCACAACAACAACAACAACCACAACAACAACCACAACAACAACAACAACAACCACAACAUCAACCACAACAACAACAACAACAACCACAACAACAACAACCACAACAACAACAACCACAACAACAACAACCACAAUAACAACAACAACAACCACAACAACAACAACAACCACAACAACAACCACAACCACAACAACAACCACAAUAACAACAACAACAACAAAAACAACAACCACAACCACAAUAACAACAACAACAACAACAACCACAAUAACAACAACAACAACCACAACAACAACAACAACCACAACAACAACCACAACCACAACAACAACCACAAUAACAACAACAACAACCACAACAACAACAACAACCACAAUAACAACAACAACAACAACAACCACAAUAACAACAAACAACAACAACCACAAUAACAACAACAACCACAACAACAACAACAACAACCACAACCACAAUAACAACAACCACAACAUCAACCACAACAUCAACCACAACAACAACAACAACAACAACAACAACAACAACCACAACAACAACAACCACAACAUCAACCACAACAACAACAACCACAACCACAACAUCAACCACAACAACAACCACAUCAACCACAACAUCAACCACAACAACAACCACAUCAACCACAACAACAACAACAACCACAACAACCACAACAACAACCACAACAACCACAACAACAACCACAACAACAACCACAACCACAACCACAACAACAACAACAACAACAACAACCACAACAACCACAACAACAACCACAACAACAACAACAACCACAAUAACAACAACCACAACCACAAUAACAACAACAACAACAACAACAACAACAACAACAACAACCACAACAACAACCACAAUAACAACAACCACAAUAACAACAACAACAACAACAACCACAACAACAACCACAACAACCACAACAAUAACAACAACAACAACCACAACCACAAUAACAACCACAACAACAACAACCACAACAACAACCACAACAACAACAACAACCACAACAACAACAACCACAACAACCACAACAACCACAACAUCAACCACAAUAACAACAACCACAAUAACAACAACCACAACAACAACCACAACAACAACAACCACAACAACCACAACAACAACCACAACAUUAACCACAACAACAACAACAACCACAACAACAACGACAACAACAACAACAACCACAACAACAAAAACAACCACAUCAACCACAACAUCAACCACAACCUAGAAAACUUGUUGUUUUUCUCACUUUUUUUCCCUCUUAAAGUGGCUUUCUUUCUUACACAAUGUGAACGCAGCAGA